rnacentral:rRNA from 1 species
GAGCGAACGGGGAGCAGCCCAGAGCCUGAAUCAGUAUGUGUGUUAGUGGAAGCGUCUGGAAAGGCGCGCGAUACAGGGUGACAGCCCCGUACACAAAAAUGCACAUGCUGUGAGCUCGAUGAGUAGGGCGGGACACGUGGUAUCCUGUCUGAAUAUGGGGGGACCAUCCUCCAAGGCUAAAUACUCCUGACUGACCGAUAGUGAACCAGUACCGUGAGGGAAAGGCGAAAAGAACCCCGGCGAGGGGAGUGAAAAAGAACCUGAAACCGUGUACGUACAAGCAGUGGGAGCACGCUUAGGCGUGUGACUGCGUACCUUUUGUAUAAUGGGUCAGCGACUUAUAUUCUGUAGCAAGGUUAACCGAAUAGGGGAGCCGAAGGGAAACCGAGUCUUAACUGGGCGUUAAGUUGCAGGGUAUAGACCCGAAACCCGGUGAUCUAGCCAUGGGCAGGUUGAAGGUUGGGUAACACUAACUGGAGGACCGAACCGACUAAUGUUGAAAAAUUAGCGGAUGACUUGUGGCUGGGGGUGAAAGGCCAAUCAAACCGGGAGAUAGCUGGUUCUCCCCGAAAGCUAUUUAGGUAGCGCCUCGUGAAUUCAUCUCCGGGGGUAGAGCACUGUUUCGGCAAGGGGGUCAUCCCGACUUACCAACCCGAUGCAAACUGCGAAUACCGGAGAAUGUUAUCACGGGAGACACACGGCGGGUGCUAACGUCCGUCGUGAAGAGGGAAACAACCCAGACCGCCAGCUAAGGUCCCAAAGUCAUGGUUAAGUGGGAAACGAUGUGGGAAGGCCCAGACAGCCAGGAUGUUGGCUUAGAAGCAGCCAUCAUUUAAAGAAAGCGUAAUAGCUCACUGGUCGAGUCGGCCUGCGCGGAAGAUGUAACGGGGCUAAACCAUGCACCGAAGCUGCGGCAGCGACGCUGAUGCGUUGUUGGG